GCACACACAUUAUAGAGCAUCGACAAGAAGCGCGCCUGAAGGGAGGUAACUCAUGAGUGCUUUGAGUCGCCCAGGCCUUCUCUCUCAUCUGGGUUUUCCUGAAGCUGGAAAGCCUCUUCUUUUGGCUUGGCCUCGCUGAACUCGUCGUGCCCGGGUUCCAAAUCCCAGGCACUGCAGGGUUUCUGCCAAGGACUUUUGGCAGGGAGACACACACAGUAUCACCAGUAACUUAGCGUCACCUCCUUUAGAAACAAACAAGAAGAAUAACGACAUGUGAGUUGAAAGAAAUGCCAAGACACCAAAUGGCAUCUCAAAGCAUCAACAUACUACACGGGACAGGUCACUGCCCGUGUUUUAAAAAAUGCGUGGGCCGAAGAAAGUUGCCGGGAGCUUUUGGGGUUCGAGGUCCGGGUCCUCAAAAGAUGUGGUGGCAGUUCCUACUCUUGGGUUCUGAGAGAGAACUCAAGAUCCUGCCAGGACAUGUUUUUUUUUUUCAGCUACUUAAGUGGAUUUCUAUUCCUUGUGAACGGCCAGUCAAAUACGGCGACUUACCAGCGCUGCCAGGGGAGGCGGCUGCCGUCAGGGUCGCUGUGAUCACCAGGUGCGAUCUGGAAGAAUCUGCGUGGACCCAGGUGGGGUGUUUCGCCCUCAGCUGCAGCCCUCCGGUGACAAGGUUCAUGAAUUCUCCCGCACUGCUAACGGACCUGGCAGAGGACAACAGAUGUGAAAGAGCACGCAAAAAGUAAAAGGAAUGCUGAACCGCAUCUCACAGGCAACGCACCCCUUCCAGUUUGACUGGGGUGAGGGCAAGAGCUGUCUGUCCUAAAAUCAACUUUGGUUAGAAGAAGAAUCUUCUAUAAUCUAAGUAAACGUAUUUGCUUCAAGAAAGCAGACUGAAGCAAAUCUUUGCCUAAAUAAAACCUAACAAAGUAAAAUUUUUCAUUUGGAUUUUCAUUAGCUGAGUCUUGAUAAGUAUGGUGCUUUUAUGAGGCUUAAUUGACCUGUGUAUCUCUGCGAUUUCUUAUCCUGAAAUAAUCAACUGUUUUAGAACCAAACCAGAGGUUCUCAACCUUAUUCAACAUCAAGCAUUUAUCGAUUUAUUAUACCCUAAUGUACCUCAAGUGUUUUUCUUGUUUUGGUUUUUGAACCCAAGUUUUUAAAGUAUAUUGCAUAUCAAAUUAAACUUAAGAAAUAAAAAGUUUAUUUCUCCAUUUUAGUUUCACUAAUCAGA
rnacentral:lncRNA from 1 species